UGCACUGUUGCUAGUUACCAUGCUCUUGAACUCUUGAACUGCAGUUCUGCUGGCUCAGCUGUGGUGUCAGGUUACAGCCUGUUGCUACAAAUUCAUAACGUUAAUU